GUCUGAUCCAGGCCAUCCAAGAGCCACCAAAGUUAAACCCAGAGGCUGUACAGGUCAAUCUGUGAGAUUCUCCAGGUCUUUUAACCACUGGUUCAGAUUGUGUCAGAGUCUGACCAUCAACACCUGUCAAGAUGAUGAAAAACAUUGUAUG